rnacentral:rRNA from 1 species
GAUGAACGCUGGCGGCGUGCCUAAUACAUGCAAGUCGAGCGAACAGAUGAGGAGCUUGCUCCUCUGACGUUAGCGGCGGACGGGUGAGUAACACGUGGAUAACCUACCUCUUAGACUGGGAUAACUUCGGGAAACCGGAGCUAAUACCGGAUAAUAUAUUGAACCGCAUGGUUCAAUAGUGAAAGACGGUUUUGCUGUCACUUAUAGAUGGAUCCGCGCCGCAUUAGCUAGUUGGUAAGGUAACGGCUUACCAAGGCAACGAUGCGUAGCCGACCUGAGAGGGUGAUCGGCCACACUGGAACUGAGACACGGUCCAGACUCCUACGGGAGGCAGCAGUAGGGAAUCUUCCGCAAUGGGCGAAAGCCUGACGGAGCAACGCCGCGUGAGUGAUGAAGGUCUUCGGAUCGUAAAACUCUGUUAUUAGGGAAGAACAAAUGUGGAAGUAACUAUGCACGUCUUGACGGUACCUAAUCAGAAAGCCACGGCUAACUACGUG